rnacentral:lncRNA from 1 species
UGACUCUAAAACCUCUCUGUUCCUCGAUUUAUAGAUUACAUCGUGUUUUUCUCUUCCGUGCGAUCAAGAUCUUCAAAGUAAGCAUCUUUCAAAGUAGCGACACAUGAAAUACAGCUGGAGGAUCAGUAACUCCCUGUUAAGCAGCUUUGCUUGCUGUCAUUGUUGACUGCCAGAGGGUGGUGAUCCAUGUCAGUCACUAAAAUGACACCUUGGCAAUACUGCAGUCUGCUUCUGGAGGUUUUGUGUAUGGGACCACUUUUAAGGUUCCUCAAAGAGUCUUAGAAAACCCAGUGAACCCCAUCUCAGGUGAACCCUUUGAUUGUGACUCAUGGUUCCUGACUCGUUCCAAAACUGCUUUCUGGAUUCUGUUGGCCUGUAAUCUUUCCCAGGAAGGAAAUGCAAAAGACAGGUCUGAGAAAAACAAGAAAAACUAGCAUGAUGGAUGCCAUGCUGUAGUAGAUUGCUACCUGACAUCUUAUUGUGAAACAUGGAAAAAAGUCAAUAAGCAAAUUGGACAGACUUGGAGAGUAAUGGAUUGGCAAAUCAAAAUGCAUACACAAAAAAUUAAUCAAAGCAACCACUUAAUUUUAAUCAUAGUCUCACAGUAAACAAGCAUUAGUAUGGGAUUUUAAAAGUCUUAGAUUCAAGUCCUGGCUCUGCCAUUUCUAAGCAAGUGAUUUAUGCAAUUCACCUUCUCUGAGCUUUAGUUUCCUUAUCCAUAAUAUAGAAAUAAUAUCUGCUGUACUUUCCUUCUGUGGUUGCUGUAAGGAUUAAACUAAAUCAUAAAAGUG